AGCAGCCGCGGUAAUUCCAGCUCCAACAGCGUAUAUUAAAGUUGUUGCAGUUAAAAAGCUCGUAGUUGAACUUCGGGGUCUACCCAUUGGUCAGGCUUAAUUGUCUGCACUGGUGAGAUGGAUCUCUACCUUCUGAGGAACUUUCAUGCCAUUUAUUUGGUGUGGUUGGAAAUCAGGACUGUUACUUUGAAAAAUUAGAGUGUUUAAAGCAGACUAUCGUCUGAAUACAUUAGCAUGGAAUAAUGAAAUAGGACGGACUGAUUCUAUUUCGUUGGUUUCUAGGAUCACCGUAAUGAUUAAUAGGGAUAGUUGGGGGCAUUAGUAUUCAAUUGUCAGAGGUGAAAUUCUUGGAUUUAUGAAGACUAACUACUGCGAAAGCAUUUGCCAAGGAUGUUUUCAUUAAUCAAGAACGAAAGUUAGGGGAUCGAAGACGAUCAGAUACCGUCGUAGUCUUAACCAUAAACUAUGCCGACUAGGGGAUCGGACGAAGUUAAUUUUANAAUUGACGCGUUC
rnacentral:rRNA from 1 species